rnacentral:rRNA from 1 species
UUCUAUAAAAAAUUUUUUAUAGUAUUACCUGCUCUAUGUUUAUUAUAAAUGGCCGCAGUAUCUUGACUGUGCGAAGGUAGCAUAAUUAAUUGCCUUAUAAUUGAAGGCUUGUUUGAAUGGUUUGACGUGGUAAUUACAAAUGUUUUAAUUUUAUUUGAAAUUUAUUUAGAGGGCACAGAAUCCUCUAAAAUUAAUUAGACGGAAAGACCCCAGGAUCUUUAUUUUUUGUCUGGGGCAGAUACCUUUAUUUCAAAGUUAUUAAGAUCCUCUUAAAGCAUAGUGAGUUAAGUUACCCUGGGGAUAACAGUGUAAUAGUUUAUUAGAGUUCCUAUCGAUUAAACUGUUUGCUACCUCGAUGUUGACUUAGGUAAAUAAGUUAGGCGCAGUAGUUUAAUUUUUUGGUCUGUUCGACCAAUUAUACCUCC